rnacentral:rRNA from 1 species
ACGCUCGACACCUACGGGAGCAGCAGUGAGGAAUAUUGGUCAAUGGACGCAAGUCUGAACCAGCCAUGCCGCGUGCAGGAUGACGGCUCUAUGAGUUGUAAACUGCUUUUGUACGAGGGUAAACGCAGAUACGUGUAUCUGUCUGAAAGUAUCGUACGAAUAAGGAUCGGCUAACUCCGUGCAGCAGCCGCGGUAAUCUGAGCGGGCUGGCAAGGC